rnacentral:lncRNA from 1 species
UGUCCACUCUGCCCCAGACAGAAAUGCCAGUUUCUGCAGUAUAGAUAAUUAACCACAGAGGUAUAUCCCUUCUUUCCUUUGCCAGACAAAAAGAAAUACAUUUGUUUUGUCGUUAGUAAGGCUGUGGGUUUAUUUCAUUGUCAACAAGGCUGCAAGUGUUAGUUGAAUGGGUUUUAACUGAUGCAAAUCUCAAUAAAUUGACAUGUGGAUCAAUAGAGUGGUCACUGAAAUACAUAGGAUUUGAGCAUCGUGUGCAGUCAAGUUAAUUCAGACUUAUGGGCACCCUUUCCAGGAGAGAAUACUCAGAAGUAGUUUGCCUUGCCUUUCUUCUGGGGGGGCACCCUGGGGUCUGCACAGCUUGCCCAAGGCCUCACAGGCUGGCUAUACUUCCAGAAGGUGCAGUGGGGAAUCCAGGUCCCAAACUCUGGCUCCACUGAGCAAUCCAGCCAGCAAAAUAACCACGCUCCAUCAAGUCCAUUCUGCCUUACGGUGACCCUUCUCACAAUUUUCCAGGUACAGAAUACUCAGAAGUGGUUUCCCCUUCCCUUCCUCUAGGGGGCGCCCUGGGAUUGUGCAGCUGGCCCAAGGCCCCCCAGGCUGGCUGUAUUCACAAUGGCUGCUCCAUCGCCAGAUAACCCAAACCACCAAACUAUCCAGCCAGCUAUGUAGGAAUUAUUCCAAGUUAAAUCAUCCCACCUCCCCUUGUCUCCCUGCUUCGGAAAAGAAUAACAGAAAUGUUUACCCACGGUUAAUGUCGAGCUCCAGUGGGUUGGCAGGCUGGGCCUCAUCCAGAGCAUGGACAAGCUACUUUGUUUUUGGAUCGCACUUCACAGAAUCUCCCGUCCAGAUGGGUUAACUGUAGUUGUAACCGCUAGAAUUCACACACAUGCUAAGCAAGCUACACCUUGAUCAUUACCAUCACCGACACCUAACAACAACAACAACAUGCCAUGAAGUUGAUUCUGACUUAUGGUGAGUGACUGUUUUCAAGGUUUUCGAGAUAGAGAGUAAUCAGAAGUGAUUUACCCUUCCCUUCCUCUAGGGGGCAACCACGGGACUGUGCAGCUGGCCCAAGGCCACCCAGGCUGGCUCUUCUUGCAGGAGGAACAGCGGAGAAUUGAACUCCUGACCUCUGGCUUCCCAGUCAGGUAUGCAUAGGGUUGCCAGAUGUCAGGCAAAAGGAGGACAUGUCCUCCUUUUUAGCCUAAUGUCCUCCAUCAGGCAGGCAAAGAUAAAAUGUCAGGCUUUUGUAUAUUUUAUGUUAUAAUUUUGGAUGGGAGGGGGAGAGAUGGAAUGGCACCCUUCCCCCUGGCUUCCCCCACCCCCACCUGCCUGCCCACUCCCGGUAUUUUGAAAAAAAAGCCUCCAUUGAAUUUAUUUUAAUUUUUUAACAUGACUGUUUCUUGGUCGGUUCACUAAAAGACAUUUAUUGGCAGCUAUUGUAAUAAAAUUACAUAGAUUGUGGGUUUAAUCUGGAAC